rnacentral:lncRNA from 10 species
AUGAUUUAGCUUUGUGAAUAUGGGGACAGUGAUAGCCCAAUUUCUUUGAUAAAUUAUUUCAUUUCAGAAGACUGGCAUGUGCUAAGUACUAGGAAAAAAGACAGACCAGGUGAGGAGAUGAAUGGAGUGAGAAGACAGCCCAGUGGAAUGAGAAACUAAUGAGGACCUAAAUGCCUGUGAUGGAGAAAACACAGGAAAUGGAGAAACAUAGACAACCUACAAGCAAGUAAAGAGACAAUUCCAGAAUGUUAAAAUCUAUACGGGAAUGACAGUGUCUGCAAGCCAUUGAUAUUAAAAAAUAUAGACCAGACAUGAGCAGAUAUUACUGGAUCUUGGACAAGUGGGUCUCUAAGCUGCGUGGCCUUAGGUGACUUACUUCAGAGUUGUGCUUCUGCAAAAGAAGAAAAAUAAUAACAACUGGAUUGUUGUGAGCAGACAAGCAUGUUUGGCCCAUGUGCACAGCAAAUGCAUCAGAAAGCUGAUGUACCUGAAACCCAUAACUCAUACACGUUAGUGAAGAAAUGAAGAAAUAGCAGCUUCCUCACCCUGCACCAUCUCCCUGAGUUCCAGCAGGAUCCUCAACAGUUGCCCACAAUGAGAACUUGCUUGAUUACACACUCAUUAUUGGAUUUAGUCCCUUCCCUGUCUCACUUUGCUGCUUCUCUGUUGGUGCCUCCUGGGAUUAUCCCCGAAGUAAAUCAUACACACUACAGUCCUUAUCACAGGGCCUGCUUCUGGGAGAACCUACUGAAGACAAAACCCGCCGGCAUAGUCCAUGUGGGUCAGCCUCCCAUGGCAGAGAACAAGUGAAGAGAGGGUGCCUGGUCUGCUUCACACACUUCAGCUAGUAGUGAACAUCAAAGACCCUGAGAAGCCAAAAGUUAUGAAAUGCAUCAGCAGUGGGUUGAAGACAAGACCUCUCCUUUUCCUGCUGACAUUUCUUCCAUGAGCAGUACCCAGACAGCCGACAGAAAGAGCCCAGGAGACAGACAGAGGAAAAAGGGUGAUAACUCCAGAGCACGUCAUUUUUAUUCUCCAUAUCUCAGAAAAUAGACUCCAAAACAGAGGAAUUAUUUUUCCACUUUACUGAGGAAUAUAAUGAUUA